AUACGUAGGUGGCAAGCGUUGUCCGGAAUUAUUGGGCGUAAAGCGCGCGCAGGUGGUUCCUUAAGUCUGAUGUGAAAGCCCCCGGCUCAACCGGGGAGGGUCAUUGGAAACUGGGGAACUUGAGUGCAGAAGAGGAUAGUGGAAUUCCAAGUGUAGCAGUGAAAUGCGUAGAGAUUUGGAGGAACACCAGUGGCGAAGGCGACUGUCUGGUCUGUAACUGACACUGAGGCGCGAAAGCGUGGGGAGCAAACAGGAUUAGAUACCCUGGUAGUCCACGCCGUAAACGAUGAGUGCUAAGUGUUGGGGGGUUUCCGCCCCUCAGUGCUGCAGCUAACGCAUUAAGCACUCCGCCUGGGGAGUACGGUCGCAAGACUGAAACUCAAAGGAAUUGACGGGG
rnacentral:rRNA from 1 species